GCAAGACAUAUAUAGUCCAGAUUCAAUGGACCUGCAAAAGAUCUCCUAAUUAUAAAUUCCCACAGAAACAAAGCUUCAAGAAAGGUCUCUUACACUUUCCCUUCUCCUUCUCUUCAUGGAACAAUGAAGCCUGCAACAAUUUUUACAAGCGAAGCAAUUGAAGAGAAGAAUGAGGGAAAAGCAUUUUUAAUUUAAUCCCUAUAGUAUGCAGAAGCAUUAUUUUACACUCCCAUGUUUGGAGAAUUUACCUAAGACACCAUUUCUGUCUAUGUUGAGACUAAGACAUUAAACAUGUGUAUUCAUUAAUGAGUUCCCCUGAAAACUUCAUUGUUAAUAAUAUUUAUAUUUAUUAUUAUUAUUA